GACGAACGCUGGCGGCGCGCUUAACACAUGCAAGUCGAACGGAAAGGCCUGCUUUCCCUUGUGGAUUGCGGGUACUCGAGUGGCGAACGGGUGAGUAACACGUGAGUGAUCUGCCCCCAACUUGGGUAUAAGCCUGGGAAACUGGGUCUAAUUCCCGAUAGGGCUGCAGGGUGGUGCCUGUGGUGGAAAACGAUUUUCUAGUGGUUGGGGAUGAGCUCGCGGCCUAUCAGCUUGGUGGUGGGGUAAUGGCCUACCAAGGCGGCGACGGGUAGCCGGCCUGGGAGGGUGGACGGCCACAUUGGGACUGAGAUACGGCCCAGACUCCUACGGGAGGCAGCAGUGGGGAAUAUUGCACAAUGGGCGGAAGCCUGAUGCAGCGACGCCGCGUGGGGGAUGACGGCCUUCGGGUUGUAAACUCCUUUCGACCGCGAGGAAGCCACCUGGUUGGAAGGGUGGUGACGGUAGUGGUAGAAGAAGCACCGGCUAACUACGUG
rnacentral:rRNA from 1 species